AUAUUUUGUAAUGGCAUGUGCAGGCAACCUAUCAACUUCAUCUUAUAUAAUAAUCAUAUGUAAUUUAUUUGUUUAUGUAUCAACGCCAUGCAGGAAACCAGCUGGUUGCCCAGAGCAGGAUGAGUCUUUAGUGACCCUACCACGGACUGCCACUUCAUCUUGGGACCCAGUUGAAGAAGAACUCACACAGAGGGAGGUGGCUCAGACAUGGAGAUCAAAAUGAGAGCAACUUUUCCUGCCAAUUCUCGGUGGCUGUACCGGAGGUGAUGCCAUCCGCCGCAUGCUGCGGCAAGUUGCAACGAAUGAUGUGCUGAGACAGUACAGCUUGCGGGGAAGAAAGACAAUGAGAGCCUUCCAGGACCUGGCCGUACGCAGGGUUAUAACAGGCAGGUGCUAUUUUAUUGUUCACAUUAGUAUUGUGCUUAGCUUGGCUGACAAGAGGUUUCAAUUUGACUUAUAACUUUGCUUCAUUUGGACUUCUACUCUAGCGGCCUGCCAGAAAAACUUCCCUGCGCUGACUGCUGCAGAAGCGGAGGAUUUGAUUGGGUAAAUUCUGAAGUUUGCCCC